UGAUGACCUGCAACAGUUGUUUGAUAUGAGA
rnacentral:piRNA from 1 species